ensembl:lncRNA
GGGGGUUUGUGGCAACAUGUGGGAGCGUUGAGGGUGCUAGGGGUUGGGGGGGGGCUCUAGGGAAGGAUGUUGUGCUGUAGGAGAUUGUGGGGGCCUGAGGGAGGAUAUAGGGUGUCUGUGGGGCGUCUGUGGGGAUAUAGAGGAGAUAUGGAGUCUAGAAGGGUUCUAUGGGGAUAUGAGGUUGGAUAUGGGAGACUGGGGGGUCUCUGUAGGGGGUCUAGGGUCAGUGUGGGUCUGUGUGGAGAUGUAAGGGGAGAUAAGGUUUUAGGGGGCUGGGGGACUGUAGAGAGGGCUUUAGGGCUGUAGGGGGGAUAUGGAGUGCUAUGUGGCUGCAGGGAGCUGGGGAAUAAUAUGGGGCUGAAGGGGGCUAUUGUGGGAGCAAUAUGGUUCUAUGGGGAGGCUAUAAGGCGCAGUGGCAGGGCUAUAGGGGGUUUAUGGGUGGUUAUGGGGUUAUAGAGGGCUGUGGGUGGGCUAUAGGAGGGUUCUAGCAGGGUAGGAGUCUAUAGGGGUCUGUGGAGGGGAUAUAGGGAGAUAUGGGGCAAUAGUGAAUUUUUAGGGGGUUGUGGCAGGCUGUGGGAAGGUAUAGGAUGAAAGGGGGCCGGGGAGGGUCUCUAGAGAG